rnacentral:rRNA from 1 species
GACGAACGCUGGCGGCGUGCUUAACACAUGCAAGUCGAACGAUGAAGAAGAGAAACGCGAACUUCGGUUCAAAUUUCACUUCGGAUUAGUGGCAGACGGGUGAGUAACGCGUGAGCAACCUACCUCUUACAAAGGGAUAGCCUCGGGAAACCGUGAUUAAUACCAUAUGACACCUUCAUAAGGCAUCUUAAGAAUGUUAAAGCUACGGCGGUAAGAGAUGGGCUCGCGUCCCAUUAGCUAGUUGGUGAGGUAACGGCCCACCAAGGCGACGAUGGGUAACGGGGGGGAGAGGGUGAAGGGUGAGAGGGGAGGUGAGACACGGUGGGAAGGGGGAGGGGAGGGAGGAGUGGGGGAGAGUGAAGAGGGGAGGGAAGGGUGAUGGAGCGAGGGGGGGUGAGGGAUGAAGGAAGUGGUGUGGUAAAGGUGGGUUGUAUGGGAAGAAAAGGAGGGUAGCAGAGGAGAAAGCGGGGGGUAAAUAGGUG